rnacentral:rRNA from 1 species
UACGGAGGGUGCAAACGUUGCUCGGAAUCAUUGGGCGUAAAGCGCACGUAGGUGGCCUGUUAAGUCGGUGUGAAAUCCCUGGCUCAACCCAGGAAGUGCACUCGAAACUGGCAGGCUUGAGUACUGAAGAGGUCGCGGAAUUCCCGGUGUAGAGGUGAAAUUCGUAGAUAUCGGGAGGAACACCAGCGGCGAAGGCGGCGCUC